rnacentral:rRNA from 1 species
UAGGGAAUCUUCCGCAAUGGACGAAAGUCUGACGGAGCAACGCCGCGUGAGUGAAGAAGGAUUUCGGUUCGUAAAACUCUGUUGUUAGGGAAGAAAAAAUGUAUAGUAACUAUAUACAAAAGAGACGGUACCUACCCAGAAAGCCACGGCUAACUACGUGCCAGCAGCCGCGGUAAUACGUAGGUGGCAAGCGUUGUCCGGAAUUAUUGGGCGUAAAGCGCGCGCAGGUGGUUUAGAAAGUCUGAUGUGAAAGCCCACGGCUCAACCGUGGAGGGUCAUUGGAAACUAAUAAACUUGAGUGCAGGAGAGAAAAGUGGAAUUCCUAGUGUAGCGGUGAAAUGCGUAGAGAUUAGGAGGAACACCGGUGGCGAAAGCGGCUUUUUGGCCUGCAACUGACACUGAGGCGCGAAAGCGUGGGGAGCAAACAGG